UACAGAGGGUGCGAGCGUUAAUCGGAGUUACUGGGCGUAAAGGGCGCGUAGGCGGUUAUAUAAGUGAGAUGUGAAAUCCCUGGGCUUAACCUAGGAACUGCAUCUCAUACUGUAUGACUGGAGUAUUGUAGAGGGUAGUGGAAUUUCCGGUGUAGCGGUGAAAAUGCGUAGAGAUCGGAAGGAACACCAGUGGCGAAGGCGGCUACCUGGACAAAUACUGACGCUGAGGCGCGAGAGCGUGGGGAGCAAACAGG
rnacentral:rRNA from 1 species